rnacentral:rRNA from 1 species
CCCUUAGAUGCUCUGGGCCGCACGCGCGCUACACUGGUCGAUGCAACGAGUUUCUUUCCUUGGCCGACAGGCCUGGGCAAUCUUUGAACAUCGAUCGUGAUCGGGAUAGAUUCUUGUAAUUUUUGAUCUUAAACGAGGAAUUCCUAGUAAACGCAAGUCAUCAGCUUGCAUUGAUUACGUCCCUGCCCUUUGUACACACCGCCCGUCGCACCUACCGAUUGAAUGGUCCGGUGAAAUCUCCGGACUGGCGUGAGUCGGAGCAAUCUGACAAACGCCGGAAAGUUGAUUAAACCUUACCAUUUAGAGGAAGGUGUAGUCGUAACA